UUAGGUAAGAUCUAGGAGGUUCAAACGAUUCAUUUUCUAAACACCACAGGAGCACUAAGAAAACCAGUAACAUAUUCCUGUUUGUUGGCUUAGGUUAUGGCAAUUAUAAAGAGAAGCUUGAGUAGGAGGCUAUUUAUGUAUAGGAGUGGGCUAGGCUAGCAUAGUUUAGCAUGUGCUAUAGCAGACUAAAUUUGAUUUUGAAUUAUACAGAGCUGGAGGAGAAUAGCCGAGAAACUCAAGACCAAGGUUCCAGGCUGAACGUGGAGAAGAGAAGAGCACAAGCGAAGCUUAACCCCGUGUAGCUCAGUUGGUAGAGCAUGGCGCUUGCAACGCCAGGGUUGUGGGUUCGUUUCCCACGGGAGCCAGUAUGAAAAUACGCAGACCUUGUCUCGUCACCACCACGCACCAAGAAGGAAGGAACGCGCAGUUAUCCUGUUGAGAGGAGCACCGCCGGCCCCGCGCGCCUCAUAUCAAAGCGGUCUGAACCAGGGCUAAAUGUGGGAAGCGUGUGUAAUCAUGUUACUGUCCCCUCAUGGCCUAGAUACAUUUAAUUGGACGUAAGUCAAGCUGUUAAACUUGGUUGUAUGAGCUGCGAAGAGUUUCAAGCACAACAAGAAAGGCCCUUAUUUUUACUGAGGUCUCAGUGAACGCACCUAGCUUGAAAGCGUUUGCACUGGGAACCAGUAGGUUACAAGAUCAGAUGAUAUAAACGCGGUUAAAAGCACUCUCCAGAGUCUAUUUGUGAACUAUAGGAGCACAAAGGUUGACAAACCAUUAUAGGCCGUUGAUUAGUCAUCUCAUCACAAAGAUAUACAUUCAAGUUAAAGGAACUUCCGUGU